ACGUGUAUAGCUGGCUGAGCACCUAGGUAAGCGGUAUUCCAAAAGGCAGAUUUUGCAUGUAAUCUACAUGGAAUGCAUUUUUCAUUUUGCCAAACACCAAGCUAACCCAAUUGUAAGAGAAACUGGGUUUGGGUAAGAAAUGAAACAAGAGUGAAAUUGGAUAAUGACAGACAGGUGGUCCUGGUCCUUGCCUGGAUUCUCCUGGCCAACUUGCUGCAGCUUGCUGUACUUCCCUCAGCCUGUCGCUUGUCCAAUUGACCCAGCUGAAAUUGCUUCAUCAGAUGAAAGACUGAAGACUUCAAUGCAUUAAAAAGGACUGAAUCUCAAUGGCAAAAUACAUUCCUUUGAUAUUCCAGUAGAGCAAAUGAAACCCUCGAAAGAAAGUAAGUGAAAGUAUCUUUGUGGUCAAUUCUAAACCAGAUGGAUCUACAGUAAAACAAAGAUUAUACCACUCUGAAUUUUUUAUAUCUGGUUUGCUAUUGGAACCAUGCAAAAUAUUAUUCUGGAUUUACGGUUAUUUCAUUAAUUCCUACAUAUAAUCAACUUUCUAAAUUGAAUUGUCAAUGUGGAAUGUGUUCAAAUGAAUUAGUUGCUUCUCAAUUGAUCUGAUAAUUUGAUAUUUUUAUAUGCAUAGAAAUAUUUUUAUACAUUUCUUAAAUAGAUCAGAUAAAUAUAGUAACCAAAAUGGAAGUCCAAAUCAAAUCAAUAUUUUGAACUGAAUUGAUUCCACUAUUAAGAUAGAAUCAUCAACUAUUGAUAUUAUCUUUUUGGCAAGACAAUCUUAAAUGGACAAGUACUUGAACUUACUAUCAUAAUUACAUAUUCAUCUAACUGGCUCCUGAAACAUUAUUAUGGGCCACGUCUAGUAGCUUGUAGACAUUAAAGGGUAAAAGAUGUACAUUAUCUGUAAAGUAAUAUCUGUGUGGCAAGCAACCAGAAGAGCAAAUAUAAGUUAAUUAAAAUGCAAUUAGGAGACAAUCUUGACAAGCCAGGAAUAAUAGAUUUAGAACGGUUGUGGCAAAAUUGCAGCUACUUUGUCCUCCUAUUUUGCAAAGUACAAAUAAGUGUAAUACACUCAGCAGCUCAUACACAAUUUACUGGUUUAUUUGGAUGCAUUUAAGAUUGCUGUUUGGUGUUUUCUUUUGCUUUUCUAUCCAUUCUUAAAGUAUAGUUAACUUAAAAUGUCCAAACAGCCCCAAGGAGGUGAAAAACUGAUAUCCAUAUUUUAGUUUCUUAUUUAUGCACAAAUGUAAUGUAAAUAUGGCAUUUUUGUGAAUCAUCAUAUGAAACCCCAAAAAGAAAAGUAUUUCUUUGCUUCUCUUAGGACACAAAAUCUGGGUUCACAUAUUAGACUGUGUGGACACUCUCAACUACACUAGCAUGUGUUUUGUUUAAGUUAAUCUUAAGAUAUUGUGCAAACCCAGCAAAUCUGUUUCAUGAGCCCUGGCUAAUGGACAAACUGGAUCACUUUUGAGAAACCCAUUAAACAGCAGCCCAUGCCCUGAAACUAGUAGAUCAAAGUUCAGUGCAGUUUAACUUAGAGCAUCCAACGUCAUUCUUCAUUUUUUCUUCUAUUCAUCUCAGUAGAGAGGCAGCUAUCAGUGAUAAUUCAAGCAAAGAACAAUAUUCCCAGCAGCUUGCAUUGUAAGUAGAGCUGGAGGGUUCUUAAACAUUCAGCCACUGUCGUCUUGCUAAUUCACAGUACUCCUUUUCUCUCAGGCUUCAAACACCUGCAACUUAAUGAAAGCGUACAUUGUUACUUCAAGUGGGGAGACAGCACAUGCAGUGUCUA